rnacentral:rRNA from 1 species
AUAUUGGACAAUGGGGGCAACCCUGAUCCAGCCAUGCCGCGUGUGUGAAGAAGGUCUUCGGAUUGUAAAGCACUUUAAGUUGGGAGGAAGUGCCUUAGUUUAAUACCUCGAAGUUUGGACGUUCCCAACAGAAUAAGCAUCGGCUACCUCUGUGCCAGCAGCCGCGGUAAUACAGAGGGUGCAAGCGUUAAUCGGAAUUACUGGUCGUAAAGCGCGCGUAGGUGGUUCAGUAAGAUGGAUGUGAAAUCCCCGGGCUUAACCUGGGAACUGCUUUCAUAACUGCUGAGCUAGAGUACGGUAGAGGGUAGUGGAAUUUCCUGUGUAGCGGUGAAAUGCGUAGAUAUAGGAAGGAACACCAGUGGCGAAGGCGACUACCUGGACUGAUACUGACACUGAGGUGCGAAAGCGUGGGGAGCAAAC